rnacentral:lncRNA from 1 species
GCGCCCUCCAGGCCUUCCACCUCGACGCCCAAUCCUGGGGCGUCAAUGUGCAGCCCUACUCCGGCUCCCCUGCCAACUUCGCCGCCUACACCGCCGUCCUCAACCCCCACGACCGCAUCAUGGGGCUGGAUCUCCCCUCCGGCGGCCACCUCACCCACGGCUACUACACCUCCGGCGGCAAGAAGAUCUCCGCCACCUCCAUUUACUUCGAGAGCCUCCCUUACAAAGUAAACUCCACCACCGGCUACAUCGACUACGACCGCUUGGAGGAAAAAGCCCUAGACUUCAGGCCCAAAUUGAUAAUCUGCGGUGGCAGCG